rnacentral:rRNA from 1 species
UACGGAGGGUGCAAGCGUUGUCCGGAAUCAUUGGGCGUAAAGAGUUCGUAGGUGGUAUGUUAAGUCUGGUGUUAAAGCCCGAAGCUCAACUUCGGUUCGGCACUGGAUACUGGCAAACUUGAAUGUGGUAGAGGUAAAGGGAAUUCCUGGUGUAGCGGUGAAAUGCGUAGAUAUCAGGAGGAACAUCGGUGGCGUAAGCGCUUUACUGGGCCAUAAUUGACACUGAGGAACGAAAGCCGGGGUAGCAAAUGGGAUUAGAUACCCCAGUAGUCCCGGCCGUAAACGAUGGAUACUAGGUGUUGCGGGUAUCGACCCCUGCAGUGCCGUAGCUAACGCGAUAAGUAUCCCGCCUGGGGAGUACGCACGCAAGUGUGAA